rnacentral:lncRNA from 1 species
AAGAUCUUUGAGGGGAUAAUUUGCCAUCUUAGUAUUUAGAAGAACUGUGUUUGUGUCUAUAUGAGGGAGAUCAGAUUAUAAUAGAAGGAUUUGGUAAAAUGAAGAGAAAGUUUUGAAUGGGCUAAACAGGAAUUCAAGGACUUCUUAUAAUACAUUCCAGAGCUCAGCAACUCUUUUUUUAUAUUGCCUGCUGUUUGGGAUUAUAUUCAUCAUUGCUGCCUUCAGUUACAGAAAGUCAUCCUAAACAUCCAGAGGAAGUGUAUGCUUUCUGGCUGAAAGGUUGACACACCUGAGCUAAUUCAUACGCAAGUUUAAUUUGUUCUAUAAAUGGCUUCUUGUGUGUGAGACAAUGAACUUGAAUACAUCUUGGGGGUAGGAGUUCUGCAACCUCUCUUCCACCUUUCUACUUGUCUACGAGGUCUUUCAUCAGGCCUGUUUGUAAGAGGACUUCUUAAGAUCUGUUGUCUGCCUUUUGCAUAUGAUGCCCCUUCUGUUUCUCAUCAAUUAUUACAAUUCAUCAUCAUCAUCUCUUUCUACAAUGUAUUUGCAAACUUUUUUCCAACAAUUUUCAUGUUUAAGGUGAGUAGCUCUGCCCAUUUCUUUUUUGCUUUGUGCUGAUAUAAUGUGGGUAAACUCUCUUCCACUCCCUUUCAAUUUUGACUGGGAAUUGCUUGUCUUUUCCUUUGAAGGUGUAGUUCAGAUGGAAUUUUUCUGUAUCCUAGAGACCAGAAGAGAGGAAAAGAGUCAUCAGUUUGAGAAAAACCUCAGCCAGGGUUUUGUGCAGCCGUGGUUUGCAGCGUGUCCUGUCUUCUCAUCUCAGAUUUUGUUAAACUCUCUUUUCUGCCAAAUCCCACAGAUGAUUUAGUAGAGGAGUAUCACCACAGAAAUGCUUUAUCCAUUAAGUUUUCCAAUGCUUCUUGUAAAGGGUUGAGGCAUAAAAUUGUUAUU